rnacentral:rRNA from 1 species
AAUGGGAGCUUGCUCCCAUUUCUCAGCGGCGGACGGGUGAGUAACACGUGGGCAACCUGCCCUACAGACUGGGAUAACUCCGGGAAACCGGAGCUAAUACCGGGUAAUACGUAGCAUCGCAUGAUGCAACGUUGAAAGUUGGCCUUUGGCUAACACUGUAGGAUGGGCCCGCGGCGCAUUAGCUAGUUGGUAAGGUAACGGCUUACCAAGGCCACGAUGCGUAGCCGACCUGAGAGGGUGAUCGGCCACACUGGGACUGAGACACGGCCCAGACUCCUACGGGAGGCAGCAGUAGGGAAUCUUCCGCAAUGGACGAAAGUCUGACGGAGCAACGCCGCGUGAGUGACGAAGGCCUUCGGGUCGUAAAGCUCUGUUGUUAGGGAAGAACAAGUACCGUUCGAAUAGGGCGGUACCUUGACGGUACCUAACCAGAAAGCCACGGCUAACUACGUGCCAGCAGCCGCGGUAAUACGUAGGUGGCAAGCGUUGUCCGGAAUUAUUGGGCGUAAAGCGCGCGCAGGCGGUCUCUUAAGUCUGAUGUGAAAGCCCACGGCUCAACCGUGGAGGGCCAUUGGAAACUGGGGGACUUGAGUGCAGAAGAGGAGAGUGGAAUUCCACGUGUAGCGGUGAAAUGCGUAGAUAUGUGGAGGAACACCAGUGGCGAAGGCGGCUCUCUGGUCUGUAACUGACGCUGAGGCGCGAAAGCGUGGGGAGCGAACAGGAUUAGAUACCCUGGUAGUCCACGCCGUAAACGAUGAGUGCUAGGUGUU